rnacentral:sRNA from 1 species
UGACCUAGAGCGUUCUUUUGCAAAACAGU